UACGUAGGGGGCAAGCGUUGUCCGGAAUCAUUGGGCGUAAAGAGCGCGUAGGCGGCCCUGUAAGUCCGCUGUGAAAGUCAAGGGCUCAACCCUUGAAUGCCGGUGGAUACUGCAGGGCUAGAGUCCGGAAGAGGCGAGUGGAAUUCCUGGUGUAGCGGUGAAAUGCGCAGAUAUCAGGAGGAACACCGAUGGCGAAGGCAGCUCGCUGGACCGGAACUGACGCUGAGGCGCGAAAGCGUGGGGAGCAAACAGG
rnacentral:rRNA from 1 species